UGUCAGAGUGUUACAGUGAUUGACUUAUCUAAUACCUGUCAGAGUGUUACAGUGACUUGCUUAUCUAAAUACUUGUCAGAGUGUUACAGUGCCUUACUUAUCUAAAUACCUGUCAGAGUGUUACAGUGCCUUACUUAUCUAAAUACCUGUCAGAGUGUCACAGUGACUUACUUAUCUAAUACCUGUCAGAGUGUUACAGUGCCUUACUUAUCUAAAUACCUGUCAGAGUGUUACAGUGAUUGACUUAUCUAACUACCUGUCAGAGUGUUACAGUGAUUGACUUAUCUAACUACCUGUCAGAGUGUUACAGUGAUUGACUUAUCUAAUGCCUGUCAGAGUAUUACAGUUGUGACUAUGACAACAAUCCCUUCUGACGAAAUCAAAAUAAAUCAGCGACUGUAUAAAACAGCAUAUAACCACAACAACAACAAUCAGCGACCACAAAAUGAAACAACAAACAGCGACCACAAAAUGAAACAACAAACAGCGACCACAAAAUGAAACAACAAUCAGCGACCACAAAAUGAAACAACAAACAGCGACCACAAAAUGAAACAACAAUCAGCGACCACAAAAUGAAACAACAAACAGCGACCACAAAAUGAAACAACAAACAGCGACCACAAAAUGAAACAACAAACAGCGACCACAAAAUGAAACAACAAACAGCGACCACAAAAUGAAACAACAAUCAGCGACUACAAAAUGAAACAACAAACAGCGACCACAAAAUGAAACAACAAACAGCGACCACAAAAUGAAACAACAAUCAGCGACCACAAAAUGAAACAACAAACAGCGACCACAAAAUGAAACAACAAACAGCGACCACAAAAUGAAACAACAAACAGCGACCACAAAAUGAAACAACAAACAGCGACCACAAAAUGAAACAACAAACAGCGACCACAAAAUGAAACAACAAACAGCGACCACAAAAUGAAACAACAAUCAGCGACCACAAAAUGAAACAACAAACAGCGACCACAAAAUGAAACAACAAACAGCGACCACAAAAUGAAACAACAAUCAGCGACCACAAAAUGAAACAACAAUCAGUGACCACAAAAUGAAACAACAAUCAGCGACCACAAAAUGAAACAAUAAUUAAUUAUAUCACAAAAUGAACAACAAUCAGCGACCACAAAUUGAAACAAGGGGCUCAUGGGCCACAUCGCUCACCUGAGCCAUAUAUCUUGGUCCUGCUGUUGUUCAAGAUCAAACACCAAAGUUUAACAAGGUCUUGUCAUAAAGAAUCUAUGUACAAAAUAUGAAAGCCCUACCAUUAACACAUACAUGUAUGUAGUUCAGGAGAUAGUAAGUAUGUCCAUGAUUUUUCUAAAAGUAGGUCAACAGAUCAAACACUUUUGUGUCACAAGGUUUUGCCAUGAAAAUAUAUUCACAAAAUAUGAAAGCCUUGUCUAAAAGAGUUCCGGAUAAACUUAAUACGUUAUGUUUUCUGAAAAGCAGGUCUUACUCAGAGUUCAAAGUUACAAGGUCAAAGGGCAUGAUCAUGUCCUUUGACCUUGUAACUUUGAACAUAUCUAUCAAAUAUAUGAAUUUAAAGGUCUUGCCGUAAGAAUGAUCGAUUUAAUUUAAACAAUACUCUAUUAUGUAUAAAUAUAUGCAUUAGACAACAAGCACUGCCUAUACACGCCUUCUCCAUACAAGGCAAUGGUCAAGGUCAUACAGCUGGAGAAAUGUUUGAUUACAUGUAUGUAUAAUUACAGAUGAAUAAUAACAAUUGUUUGGUAACAGCAAUAUGAUAUAUAUUAGUGAUAUGUUUCAAAUUCUAUAAUGAUUUACAACUUAUGUAUGACUAACAAGAGUAAAGGCAUGAAUAUCAAAAAUUACUAUAAAACGAGAAACGUAUAAACAGGUUGGUUAUGUGGUGUGAGAAUGAAAUGAAUUAAACAAAUGUAUUUGUAGACAAGAUAAAUUCAUGUACAAUUCUGAAAAUAGCAACAUUUUGUUUAUAACUAAGAUUAUUUUCACUAUUCAACAUGAGUUUUUAAGGUAAUGGUAUAUGUAGAUUAUUAAAACUUUACAUCUGU